ACCUGAGUGGCUCAGUCGGUUAAGCAUCUGACUUCAGCUCAGGUCAUGAUCUCAGGGUUUGUGGGUUUGAGCCCCGUGUCAGGCU
rnacentral:tRNA from 1 species